GCCCAGCGCCGGGCGGGGCGUCGGUUGCCAGGGCCGCGGGAGGCGAGGCGGCCGCCGCCAUGGAAGUUAACUCAUGAAUCAAAACUACUGUCCUCAGUUCUGUUUAUCUCAACAUUAACAGAAGUUCAGAUGUCACUGCUCAGGAAGAAAGUGGUUUUCCUGUGAGCUGUGUGGGAAACACGUCAAAAUUCAAUAUUUUAAUUGGGAACAACUACACUUUUUCAACAAAUGAAAAGUCAAGAUGACAGAUUCGCUUUCACUGCUGAAUGGUAUGACCCAAAUGCUUCACUCUUUCGGCGUUAUGAGCUUCUGUAUUAUCCAAAAGAUGGGUCAGUUGAAAUGUAUGAUGUGAAGAACCAUCGUACCUUUCUGAAGCGCACCAAGUAUGAGAGCUUACACCUUGAAGAUCUGUUUGUGGGCAACAAAAUCACUGUGUUUUCUCGUCAUCUUUCCUUAGUGGACUAUGGGGAUCAAUAUACAGCGCGCAAGCUAGGGAGCCGCAAAGAGAGAACAUUGGCUUUGAUUAAACCUGAUGCAACACCCAAGAUUGGAGAAUUAGUAGAUAUCAUUAUUAAUGCAGGAUUUACAAUAACUAAGGCCAAAAUGAUGGUGCUUUCAAGAAAAGAAGCAGUUGAUUUCUACGUAGACCAUCAGUCAAAACCUUUUUAUAAUGAGCUUCUCCAGUUUAUAACAAGUGGUCCUGUUGUUGCUAUGGAAAUCUUACGGGAUGAUGCAGUUUGUAAAUGGAAAACGUUACUGGGGCCUGCAAAUUCUGCAGUGGCUCGAACUGAUGAACCGGACAGCAUUAGAGCAAACUUUGGACAUGAUGGCAUAAGAAAUGCAGCUCAUGGCCCAGAUUCAGUUGCCUCAGCUGCUCGAGAGCUGGAGUUGUUCUUUCCCUCCAGUGGAGGUCAUGGACCAGCCAACAGUGCAAAAUUCACAAACUGUACUUGUUGCAUUAUUAAACCUCAUGCAGUUAAUGAAGGACUAGCUGGGAAGAUUAUAAAAGCCAUCAUCAAUGAAGGAUUUCAGAUCUCAGCUUUGCAGAUGUUCAACAUGGAGCGUGCAAAUGUGGAAGAAUUUUAUGAGAUUUACAAAGGUGUUGUUGCUGAAUAUAUGGAGAUGGUUACAGAGUUGUGCUCAGGCCCUUGCAUAGCAAUGGAGAUUAUACAGCCUGAACCACCAAAAGUGUUCAGAGACUUCUGUGGUCCUUCUGACCCUGAAAUAGCCCGUCAUCUCCGACCUGGAACUCUGCGUGCUGUCUUUGGGAAGAACAAGAUUCAGAAUGCUGUCCACUGCACAGAUCUACCAGAAGAUGGACUUCUGGAGGGCAUCAGACUGGAUUUCAUUAUCGCCUUCUCCAUUAACUACUGAAACUUUGCGGUAAUGUUUGGAAGCUUCCAGCGGGAGCAGCCGACCCCAUCAGAGUGAGCUGUGCACUGUGUGUGUGUGAUGGAAGCCAAUCUUCAGGGAACUGAAGCAGCUUUCAGCUCCUCCAGGGUGAAACAGUUUAUAAGGGAUGGAAGAGGAUUAAGCGCACCCGAAUAUCAGCAUUGUUUGUGAAGGCCAUGGGAUGGAUUCAGUUGGUUUCAGACCAAUCCUUGGUGUGUGCAGAGGUGAAUUUCCCUACCACCUCUGCAUCCCGUGAAGAAACCAGAGGUGUGUGUGCAUCAUAAGAGCUGACCUUGCCUUGGGUCAAAUGUGAGGUGUGCUGAGAGGCUUUAUACGUGUACAGCUGCUUUAUCUGUGGCUUAUGCUGUUUGGACCCUGGGAAUGAGUGUGGCUGCAUUUCCUGGAAUGUGGGGCAUUGUGGAAAGCCUGGCCCUGGCCAAAGGCUCAAUAUGGGCACCUCCCAGCCCUGGCUCCCCUUGGGAGAUGGCUUGGUGCUUCUAGAGCUGGGCUCUCAGAGCUGUGACUUGUGAAUGCGAGGGCAUCCCCCCGUCUCUUGGGCUUGGUUCUGGUCUCUGCAAAGCGCCAUGUGCUUUGUCAUGUGAGCAGGACAUCUGGCAGCUGUUACCCUGCUGUCUGGUGCUUCUCCCAAGGGUGAGGUUCUUGGGGUGAAGAGCCUUCCGUGUACCACAGCCAUCUCAGCUGCUAAUAGGUUUUAAUGGGCGCUGGGAGGCGGCUGACCCACAUCAUAAUUAUAUACGAGGAGAACAUAGUGGCCCUCAUUUUCACGUUAUACAAUGCAUAACUGCUGUGCUUGUUCUGAUGUCUCCUGUAGGUCAUAAGUAAGCUGAGGCUUUCAGCCAGGCCUGGGUGGAUUGCCUGCCAAAAGUCAGGGGCAGUGAAGGACCCGAGGGGUCAGAGCAAACACCUUAGGUGCCAACAGAUAGCGAGCGGGAGGCACUGGCUCAGCAUCCUGCAGCAGCCUGGAGGGAAUGGACUGUCCAAAGGAAUAGUGGGAGCUGGUAGAGCUUCCUUGCAUGAAGUUCACCUGCCUCUCACAGCCAUGGGGCCUGUGCUGCCAGCAGCUUUGUGAGCACCUCUGUGGGGCUCAGCCCACCUCCUGCAGUGCAGGGCUUUGGCUGUGGCAGCUCAGGUGCUUGGGGCCAAGUGGGCAGCACCAGUGCAAAAGUUCUCAGGUUUGGCAGUGUUAACACUGAUUGUUGUUGUGUAUUUGUGCAAAGUGGUAGUGCUGGCACAGCCUUAAAGAUGCUUGUCGUUAAAUGUGUCACUCUGCUAUUUAUUUUUUUAGUAUUUUUAUGCAUCUCUCUCUGUAACCCAGAAACACAGGUGCCCCGUAUCAACACAGUUGGGUGAUAAAGUUCACGUUAAUGGUUAUAGUUGUACUUAAUGGUGUUGAGCCAACCUGGCAGAAGGAACAAAGUGUUCAGGUGGGUGGGUGGUUUAUAGGGUGAUGCACUGCUGGGCGGUAAGGCAGAGACAGCCUCAAGAGAACAGUUUUUACAUAGGCAACACAACA